CACGACCUAACCUGCAACAUUCCCAAGCAGCAAAAUCGUCGACGACGACGAUGCGGUACAAACAACGCGCAACACGAACCGGUAACCACCGGUCGGCGAUAAAAAUGCCGACAACACUCCUUCACGAUAGCAAACCAAUUGAUUUCCAUGGCAAAGUUCUCUCUCAAUUCACAGUCUUUGUUCGCUGUUUCCUUUUUCAUUGUUUCUCCACCCAAGGCUGAAGAGAAAUGGCGGCAACUCAUUUGAAGUGUAUCCCCAACGGACAUUCUUCAGUGGCGGGAUUGAGACAUCAUGUACAACUUUAAUCUGGGGCAUUGUUAGAAUUGCGGAAAAACCCAAGACUUGUGGAAAAGGCACAAGCUGAGGUGAGACAUGUUUUUAUAUAAAGGGAAAUAUUCUUAAUGAAGAUGAUCUUUGUGAAUUGAAUUACUUAAAGUUAGUUAUCAAAGAAACUUUGAGAUAACACCCUCCUUUCCCUUAAUUAGUUCCAAGAGAGCUGAGAGAUGUGAGAAUUAAUGGAAAUGAGAUACCUGCUAAAUUCGAAAACCCAAGUCCUUGUCAAUAUAUGGGCAAAUUAGUAGAGAUCCAAAAAAUUGGAUCUUUAGUAGAGAACCAGAAAGCUUUCUUCCAGAAAGAUUUCUUGACAAUUCAAUUGAUUAUAACGGGAACUCAUUUUCAAUUUCUACCGUUUUGUGGUGGGAGGAGAAUAUGUCUUGGCAUGUCGUUCGGGAUGGCUAAUGUUGAACUUCCAUUUACUAAUUUAUUAUAUCAGUUUGACUGGAAUCUUCGUUAAGGAGAGAAACAAGAGGAUCUUGAAAUGACUAAGGCCUUUGGUGUAGCAAUUAGUAGGAAAAGAGACCUUUGUGUGAUUCCUAUUACCCAUCAUCCUUCAACUAGUGAUCGAGUAAGAUAUUAAGACAAGAAAGUCGAAAGCAUUGGAUGGUCA